CUGUACGGUCAUACCUGGUUGGAAACGGCGGAUCCCGUCCGAUCUCCGAAGCUAAGCAACCAUGGGCGUGUCUAGUACUCAGGUGGGGGACCACUGGGGAAGCGCNNNACGUACUGUACAGC
rnacentral:rRNA from 15 species